rnacentral:misc_RNA from 1 species
GAUGAAGAACGCAGCGAAUUGCGAUAAGUAAUGUGAAUUGCAGAAUUCAGUGAAUCAUCGAAUCUUUGAACGCACCUUGCACCCUUUGGUAUUCCGAAGGGUACACCCGUUUGAGUGUCAUUGUAACCUCACACCACGAGUUUUUUCUCGUGGAGGUGGACUUGGAUGCUGUCGUGUAAUGGCGACUCGUCCGAAAUGCAUUAGCGUAUCCCACAGUGUUGCGUAGUCGGUGUGAUAAUAUCUUCACCGCAGUCGAAAGGCGCGCUCUGCCGUUGGGCCAUGUGCUUUCCAACCGUCUCCGGACAAGCUUUGACAAUUUGACCUCAAAUCGGGUGGGACUACCCGCUGAACUUAAGCAUAUCCAAUAAGCGGAGGA